CAGAGUUCGAGAAGCCCUCCUCUACAUCUUCAUAAACUUGUUUGAGGGCUCUUAACUUCUCUCCUAUUUAUAUUGCUGAAUAUCUGCUUGUUUAGAAGCUGUAUUUUUCUAUUUAUUUUUCUAUCCAUUUGGUCCUUACUUGAUUCAAUCAGGGGAUUGAAUCAAGGGUGUAAAGGUUUGUUGGUGAGCCUAGGUUGAAACCAACGUGUAAGGGUU
rnacentral:lncRNA from 1 species